UAGGGAAUCUUGCGCAAUGGGGGAAACCCUGACGCAGCGACGCCGCGUGCGGGAUGAAGGCCCUCGGGUUGUAAACCGCUUUCAGCAGGGACGAAAUUGACGGUACCUGCAGAAGAAGGCCCGGCCAACUACGUGCCAGCAGCCGCGGUAAUACGUAGGGGCCAAGCGUUGUCCGGAUUUAUUGGGCGUAAAGAGCUCGUAGGUGGUUCGGCAAGUCAGUUGUGAAAUCUCCGCGCUCAACGCGGAGGGGUCAGCUGAAACUGCUGUGACUUGAGUCUGGUAGGGGAGUGUGGAAUUCCCGGUGUAGCGGUGAAAUGCGCAGAUAUCGGGAGGAACACCAGUGGCGAAGGCGGCACUCUGGGCCAGUACUGACACUGAGGAGCGAAAGCGUGGGAGCGAACAGGAUUAGAUACCCUGGUAGUCCACGCCGUAAACGUUGGGCACUAGGUGUGGGGACCUAUCGACGGUUUCCGUGCCGUAGCUAACGCA
rnacentral:rRNA from 1 species